rnacentral:piRNA from 1 species
UGAGGUGGUACGGAAUCAAUGGCUCAGACUUU